UACAGAGGUCCCGAGCGUUGUUCGGAUUCAUUGGGCGUAAAGGGUGCGUAGGCGGCUGGGUAAGUCUGAUGUGAAAGGCCGGGGCUCAACCCCGGAACUGCAUUGGAUACUGCCCGGCUAGAGAACUGGAGAGGAGACUGGAAUUUACGGUGUAGCAGUGAAAUGCGUAGAGAUCGUAAGGAAGACCAGUGGCGAAGGCGAGUCUCUGGACAGAUUCUGACGCUGAGGCACGAAGGCCAGGGGAGCAAACGGG
rnacentral:rRNA from 1 species